UGCAAAAUAACAAGUGGCAGCUCUCAGAAAGUCCUGCUACAGGUCCCAGACUAAUCCUCCCCUAGUCAGCAAGAGUGGUGGAUGGCACUGGUCGGAAGAGCCGACAUGAUCUCUUGUAGCGAGUCAGCCUGGAUAUGUGUUUGGAAACCACAGGCUCGGCCUGUGGCUGUCAGACUUCCCAGACACCAUCUGCUGCCUGCCUGCCUGUCAUCAUCAUUGUCAGAACAGGCCUGAGGGAGAGGGAAACACUGAACACCUAUGUGUCUUACUGCUUCUGUGUCACAUCCUGGAAUGCUGCUCAUCCUGCUGUAUCCAGCAACCCAGUCACAAAGAACCAAGGUGUUGUUAUAAGAACGUUUGUUAAAUUAAAGGCACCGACUUCAUUCUUGGGCAGAUUUGCUUCCUGUGGAGUGCCCAGUCCUGUUGUCUAAUUUUCUUGUUCUUUGUGAGUCUGAUCUAUAUUGUUUUACUAUCUUUCAGUUACUUGGGUAUUAGAAGUAAAUUAGAGGGAAAUAGAAUAUGGCUCAAGUGAUUGAGCUCCUGCCGACCACAUGGGAGGUCCUGGGUUCAGUUCCUGGUUCCUCCUGGGAAGGAUGAGCAAGAUAGUGAGCUGGCAUGAUGAGCUGAUGCAACAAGAUGAUGCAACAAAGAGACACAAAGAGGAAAGACGAGACACACAAUAAAAAAAGCAGGGAGCUGCAGUGGCUCAGGCAACUGGGCACCUCUCUCCCACAUGGGAGGUCCUGAGUUCAGUUCCCAGUGCCUCUUAAAGAGAAGACAAGCAGACAAAGAGAGCACACAGCACAUGGACACAUAGAGCAGACAGUGAGUGCAAAUAAUGAGGGGGGAGGAUGAAAAUAAAUUAAAAAUGAAUCUUUUUUUUUAAAAUAAAAAGGAGUAAAUGAGAAAGAAUUUUAAAUAGUUUCUUUCUAUGCUAGUUUCAUGGUAACAUGAACCUAUGCUCUGAAAAGAAGACUUGACUAUUUAGGUACUAUAGUCAUUGACACUAGAUCUCUUAUCAUUGACUAAGUGAGAGUUAACUGUUGUCAAAUAUCCAUCCAUAACUUGAAUUACAAGUUAGGCCAGCAGCUUAGGUGAAUAAUAGCAAUGCAGCUUAUUACAGUUCAUUAUACUUCUUUACUUCUCUCAUCUAGAAUAAUCAGAUAGUAAAAACAAAAUGUAGAUGUGGUACUUGAAAUUUGUUUGUUUCUAAGGCUUCUGUCUGUCUCUAUUAGUUUGAAAAAUUUUUCAAUUUUAUUUCACCAUGUCUGUUUCCUUUGUGUGAAUCACAUAAUCGUAUCCUUAGCCCAUUCAUCCUUUGAAGCACUGGUAGUGGACAUAUGUAUGUUUGAAUACAUUUUUAUAUGCUUGGAGAUAACUAUUUUCCAUUUGUGAUAAAUAUUUUUCUUUUGUUUUUGUUGCUAGUUAUUUUUAUUGCCUAGAUUAAAAAUUUUACUUAACUAUACUUGACAAUUUUAUUUCAUUUGUAAUAUCUCCUUUUGAUUCAAUUGUAAGAAAAUUAUCACCAUCAAGUGUGACUAAAAACCUUAUGUUUGUAAUAAAGGUACCAUACUCAUGUAAAAUGUUAUUAAUAGGGGAAAAUGUGAGGGGGGAAAGGGUGGGGUGUAUGGGAAUCCUGUAUAUUUUCAAUGUGAUAUUUCUAUCCUCUAAAGUUCCUUUGAGAGAAAGUGAAAAAAAAGUAUGACUCUGGGAGAACAUAUAGAAGAAAUUUUCAUCAAACAUAAAAGAUAACAGAUCUUAUGGUGAUGGAAGGCAUAAUGCCAAAAAUCUUUUUUUGGCUUUGUUUUGGGGGGAGGUUUAGGAUUACAGAAAAGGUAUAGCUAUGGCAGAGGAGGACCACUGGUGCAGGGUGCCAGUGGUGGGGGGAUGUAUGGGGAAGGAUGUACCUACAUCAUGCCUCUAUGGAAUAUGAUUGUGUUCAUAUGGUCACGUGGUGUUAUCUCAGUGGGUGGAGACCCACACAAUAACCAUUCCCAUCCUGGGGAGUCCUGCUAUAUUCUCUAAUAGAGUGGCAAGAAUCUCUGUAGUACAUGGGCAGUGCCUAGCGAAAGAGGACAGACCACUACACCAGGCCCUGGAUAUUAAUGUUUGUACUUAGGAACCUUAUUUUUGUAAAAUUGAAACUUAGCCUAGUAUUUAUGUAUUGCCUAAGAGUUACCUCCUGGAAACUUCCUUGUUACUCAAAUGUGGCCUCUUUUCUAAGCCAAACUCAGCAUGUAAGCUCACUGCUUUCCCUGCAGUGUGGGACACGACUCCUGGGGAUGGGCCUACCUGGCACUGAGGGAUUAUUACCAAGCGCCAACUAGUGGUGCACUUGGAAAAAGACCUUGACCCAAAGGGGGAAAUAUUAAAAACAAACAAAUUUUACAGUUAAGAGAUUUCAAAGUGAGUCGGGAUAUUUAUUCCAGAGGUUAUAUCCAUCAUAUCACAGGAGGAUCUCACUGACUGCCAUAGUAAACAAUGUCCCAAGCAGGGGUGUUCCUAAGGGUUCUAGAGACAUCUGGAUGCUAUAGGCAGGGCAGGCAGCCCCAGGAAAUCGGCACCCUAUUGGUGGGUCUUACCUUGGAAUAUAUCAUAACUUAUCUCCCCAAUGUAUCAUAGUUAGACUCAUUUAUAAUUUUCCUACACAUGGUUCUUCUGCCCCUUUUAUUUGAACCUAUUAUUGGCACUAUACCUGUUAAAUAUAUGUCCUAGAGACUUAAAUCUGUUCUGUUCAUAUGCCAUUUGAGCUCUGAAUCUCAGCAGAGUUGCAACUAACACCUACUCUCCAGUUCAUCGGACUCACCCAGGACAGCUAACAAAAGGAUGAUGAUGGACAACACCCAUCUCCAAAAAACAGAGAGUAUUUACAACUGCAAGCAAGACAGUUCCAUCCACCUGCCCCAUGGAAUUGAAGCCCCCUUUCAAGCAGAGUGGGCAUCACCAUCCCCAAAUCCUCAAGACUGAAGAACGAACACACAUAAGGGGGGAAUGCAAAUAUGAGCCAGAGUAGACUUAUUAUUCUAGUUUUGGAAGAACUUGUAGCAGUAAUAAAAAGACAGUAGUCACCAGAAGUUCUGAGGGGAGGGAGACAGAAGAAUAGGUAUAACAUGGGGCAUUUUUUUGGACAUUGGAAUUGUUCUGCAUGGUAUUGCAAUAAUGGAUAAUGGUCAGUAUACAUUUUGUCAAAACCUAUAAAAUUUUGCAACACAAAGUGUAAGCCAUAAUGUAAACUAUAGACCAUGGUUAGUAGCAAUGCUUUAAUAUUUGUUCUUCAAUUGCAACCAGUGUACCACAUUAAUGAAUGAUAUUGUUAAUGGGGGAAAGUGUGAGAGGGGGAGGAGGUAAGGUAUAUGGGAAUCCCUUAUAUUUUCUAUGUAACUUUUAUGUAAUCUAAAAUUUUUUCAAAAAUAAAGGAAAAAAACCUAUUCUUUCCU
rnacentral:lncRNA from 1 species